rnacentral:rRNA from 1 species
GACGAACGCUGGCGGCGUGCCUAAUACAUGCAAGUAGAACGCUGAAGGAGGAGCUUGCUCUUCUGGACGAGUUGCGAACGGGUGAGUAACGCGUAGGUAACCUGCCUGGUAGCGGGGGAUAACUAUUGGAAACGAUAGCUAAUACCGCAUAACAGUAGAUGUUGCAUGACAUUUGCUUAAAAGGUGCAAUUGCACCACUACCAGAUGGACCUGCGUUGUAUUAGCUAGUUGGUGGGGUAACGGCUCACCAAGGCGACGAUACAUAGCCGACCUGAGAGGGGGAUCGGCCCCACUGGGACUGAGACACGGCCCAGACUCCUACGGGAGGCAGCAGUAGGGAAUCUUCGGCAAUGGACGGAAGUCUGACCGAGCAACGCCGCGUGAGUGAAGAAGGUUUUCGGAUCGUAAAGCUCUGUUGUAAGAGAAGAACGAGUGUGAGAGUAGAAAGUUCACACUGUGACGGUAUCUUACCAGAAAGGGACGGCUAACUACGUG